rnacentral:lncRNA from 10 species
CGAUAGGGGGUGAUCUGUCUGCCCCUCACUGUUUUCUCCAAAUAGAUCAAAACCUAAAAAGGUGGGAAUGAAAGAAGCUCCUAACCCUCCUGGCUUUUUUCCCAAAGCCAGGAGGCAGCUCCUGAAUGGUGGAUUUUGGACUACUGGUGAGGCUGUCAGCAAAGGGCCUGGCCCAGAGAGAUGCUCAAGAGUAGGAUGAAAAGACCGUGGGCUUCUUCCUCUGCAAAAGGAAAGGUUUGGGACUGAUGGAUGCUGAAAAGUCUAGAUCUUCAUAAUCCUCAACAGCUUCACUGCCACUGCACACACAAAAUGAGUGUGCCCUAUAUUUCCAGCCCUCUGAUGAAUACGAAAAGAGCCUGAAGAACUCAUCUUCCUGGUCGCAAAGUACUUUAAAAUAUAUAAUCCCUCAAUCUUAAACAUACACAUUUUAUUGCUUUUUAUUAUACAAUAAUACAUAUUUACUAUUGAAAAUACAGAUAAGAAAAAAGAAAAUGGUUCAUAAUAAUACUACCCAGGUUUAAAAAAUACUAUUCAGCCUUAUGUUGAAG